rnacentral:rRNA from 1 species
UACGUAGGGGGCAAGCGUUGUCCGGAUUUAUUGGGCGUAAAGAGCGUGUAGGCGGCUUGGCAAGUCUGCUGUGAAAACUCGAGGCUCAACCUCGAGAUGUCGGCGGAAACUGCCUGGCUAGAGUCCGGAAGAGGAGAGUGGAAUUCCUGGUGUAGCGGUGAAAUGCGCAGAUAUCAGGAAGAACACCCGUGGCGAAGGCGGCUCUCUGGGACGGUACUGACGCUGAGACGCGAAAGCGUGGGGAGCGAACAGG